rnacentral:lncRNA from 9 species
CAAGAGCUUUAGAAUCAGACUGACCAUUUACUAAAGUGACAAAGGCAAGACUAGAAUUCAUUUACCCUUUCAAACAGCAAAUACCAAUUGAGUAUCUGCCAUGUGUGAGACACCUUUGUAGGUGCAAGAGCUACAGCAAUGACCAGAAUAAAGACAGAGCCCUUCUGGAGCUUAUAUUCCAGUGGGAGGAACAGACACAAAACAAAUCAAGAUGCCAUAGGAUGUAAAUGCUUAGAGAAAACAAGUUGGGGGUGGGGGUAGAUGAACAUCUGGGGGCAGGAAGUGGGGGGCAGGUUAAUACGGAAUGAUCUGGGAAGAAGGCCUCACUGAGGAGGUGACCCAAAUUUCCAGACUUCAUUCUUAUUUUUUCAAGCUUGUAUAACCACAGCCCUUUUGUUCCGUGUUUUUGUUUUUUUUUUAAUUUUAGCAUUUGGAGCAAAGUGUUGGCAGAACAGUGGUUACACUGUAGAUUUUGACAUCAGUCCUCUGCUGGUUUGUAAGUUACAGCUCCACCUCCUCCUUCCUGUGUGACUCUGAGCAAGGCCUUCAGUCUCUCUAGCCCUCGGGUUUCUCUGUCUGCAAAGAGGGGAUAAUAAUAAAUUCCCCCCAGGCUUGUUGUGAAGAUAAAACGAGAUCAUGUAUGCAAAUUGCCUGACUUUUAGUGCACUAGCAGGAACAGGAGAGGCCAAGCCGAGUCAUUUAAGAAUUUCUUGCAGACCUACCGCUACGUUUAAGACUGUGGGCUCCUUUCCAUCGCAAUCGUCUUGUCAUCCUUAGUAAUUAUACCGCGGCGGGCACAUAGUAGAAACUCAGCAAACCACGCGGUGAAGGAGCGAGUGCGCGCGUUCUCUGGCCGCUCAGCGCAGGCUCCGCUCCCCUCCUCGUCUCCGCCACUUGGCAGACGUGCCCUUUUCCAGUUGGGCUGCGGUCACAUAGAGAAGACACUUUAACAAGAUGACACAGAGAAAAAGGACCAGACCUUGGAAAGCCAGCCCUUACUCAGCGGAGGCAAGAUAUCACUGGAGUCACAGCCCAUCCGGAAUCACGGCGGGUUUUAUCUGCAAAGAGCUACCUGGGGGCACAACUUAGAAUAGAUUUACAAGGAGAUCCUGCUGAAUAGCAUUGAGAACUAUGUCUAGAUACUCAUGUUGCAACAGAACAAAGGGUGGGGGGAAAAAUGUAAUUGUAAUGUAUACAUGUAAGGAUAACCUGACCCCCUUGCUGUACAGUGGGAAAAUAAAAUAAAUAAAGAAAGAAAGAAAGAAGGAAAAAAAAAAAAAAAAAAAAGAGCUACCUGGGGGGACCGGGAGCCGCAGGAAGGGAGACUGCGGGCCCUGCGAGCCUCCAUGCCUUCUAGGAAAUAGGAACCUUGUGUCGGGCAGCAGGCGGUGAGAGCUGGGGCGGGUCGUAAACCCUUCUUUAAGAAUAAGAGUCCACUCGUUUCCUUCCUGGCUUGAGGGAAGCCCUCGCUCUUGCCUCUCUGGCUGGGUGACGGAGGAAGGAAAAUAGCUUCUCUCCACAGGAGGUGAAUGUCUUUCACUGUAAAGUCUCAAACAUCCUGGGGUCAGGGUCUGCCUGUGUCAAAUGGGGCUUCUUAUUGAUUAAGAGAAGCGGAAGGGAGAAGCAAGGGGGUUUUUAUUAAAGGCGACUUCAGUCUUGCAUCGGCUUAUUCUUCAAAGAAUCACACUAGGGCUAUCCAUACAAAUAAAUCAGAACUAUAUGCAUCAAAUAUCUCAUAGCUCCUCAGGCACACCAUGUGGAUGUACGUAUCUAUGUAAGACGCAACUGCUUGUUUGAGCUAAACAAAUAUACUCUCCCAGCAUGCUCUGAGCUGAUAACCAAAAUUCUCUCCUUACAGGCACAGAGGCUUCAAAGGACUUCUUAAUACAUUCUUUUCCAUUUAUUUUAUUUUUGAUUUAUUUUUAUGUUUAUUUAUUUACUUCAACUUUUUCAAUAACUUGAAAUGCAUGAGCACUGCAAAAAAAUUUUUUUCCAAUAGUUCAAGCUGAAAGACCUCUUGAUUUCUUCCAAUUCCUCUGCCUUUGCUACAGGGUCUGUUCACACAAGUAUUCUAGAUUCCUCUAGUUCUUUCUCUGGACGUUUACAGACACAUUAAGCCAUAGAAACAUGACAAGAAUUGGGGACCAUACCACCUGUGCUAUUCUGACCCUCAUGUUUUGCUCUUAAUGUCUUAGAAAUCUUUCUCCACUCAAGGAAUUUCAAAGGUGACCUGGGCUCCCCAAGGUCCUAGGGGUCCUAUAGUGGGGGGGCACCCUCACACUGUCCCAAGAAGCAAACAGGACAACCUCAAGGUCCUGACCCUGCUCCCACCAAGGGGCCUUCCAGUCAAUCUUCCGGUCUUUGUUGAUUUCCAUAUAAAUUUUGAUUGAAAUCUCUAAAAAAUGUAUGGCUUCACAAAAG